rnacentral:rRNA from 1 species
GACGAACGCUGGCGGCGUGCUUAACACGUGCAAGUCGAACGGAAAGGCCCUGCUUUUGUGGGGUGCUCGAGUGGCGAACGGGUGAGUAACACGUGAGUAACCUGCCCUUGACUUUGGGAUAACUUCAGGAAACUGGGGCUAAUACCGGAUAGGAGCUCCUGCUGCAUGGUGGGGGUUGGAAAGUUUCGGCGGUUGGGGAUGGACUCGCGGCUUAUCAGCUUGUUGGUGGGGUAGUGGCUUACCAAGGCUUUGACGGGUAGCCGGCCUGAGGGGGUGACCGGCCACAUUGGGACUGAGAUACGGCCCAGACUCCUACGGGAGGCAGCAGUGGGGAAUAUUGCACAAUGGGCGGAAGCCUGAUGCAGCAACGCCGCGUGCGGGAUGGCGGCCUUCGGGUUGUAAACCGCUUUCGCCUGUGACGAAGCGUGAGUGACGGUAAUGGGUAAAGAAGCACCGGCUAACUACGUGCCAGCAGCCGCGGUGAUACGUAGGGUGCGAGCGUUGUCCGGAUUUAUUGGGCGUAAAGGGCUCGUAGGUGGUUGAUCGCGUCGGAAGUGUAAUCUUGGGGCUUAACCCUGAGCGUGCUUUCGAUACGGGUUGACUUGAGGAAGGUAGGGGAGAAUGGAAUUCCUGGUGGAGCGGUGGAAUGCGCAGAUAUCAGGAGGAACACCAGUGGCGAAGGCGGUUCUCUGGGCCUUUCCUGACGCUGAGGAGCGAAAGCGUGGGGAGCGAACAGGCUUAGAUACCCUGGUAGUCCACGCUGUAAACGGUGGGUACUAGGUGUGGGGUCCAUUCCACGGGUUCCGUGCCGUAGCUAACGCUUUAAGUACCCCGCCUGGGGAGUACGGCCGCAAGGCUAAAACUCAAAGGAAUUGACGGGGCCCCGCACAAGCGGCGGAGCAUGCGGAUUAAUUCGAUGCAACGCGUAGAACCUUACCUGGGUUUGACAUGGAUCGGGAGUGCUCAGAGAUGGGUGUGCCUCUUUUGGGGUCGGUUCACAGGUGGUGCAUGGCUGUCGUCAGCUCGUGUCGUGAGAUGUUGGGUUAAGUCCCGCAACGAGCGCAACCCUUGUUCACUGUUGCCAGCACGUUAUGGUGGGGACUCAGUGGAGACCGCCGGGGUCAACUCGGAGGAAGGUGGGGAUGACGUCAAAUCAUCAUGCCCCUUAUGUCCAGGGCUUCACGCAUGCUACAAUGGCUGGUACAGAGAGUGGCGAGCCUGUGAGGGUGAGCGAAUCUCGGAAAGCCGGUCUCAGUUCGGAUUGGGGUCUGCAACUCGACCUCAUGAAGUCGGAGUCGCUAGUAAUCGCAGAUCAGCAACGCUGCGGUGAAUACGUUCCCGGG